rnacentral:rRNA from 1 species
CAAGUCGAACGCGAAAGUCCCGCAAGGGAUCAGUAGAGUGGCAAACGGGUGAGUAACACGUGGGUGACCUGCCUUCGAGCGGGGGAUAACGUUCCGAAAGGGACGCUAAUACCGCAUAACAUCCUGCUUUUCAAGAAGCGGAGAUCAAAGCUGGGGAUCGCAAGACCUAGCACUCGAAGAGGGGCCCGCGUCCGAUUAGCUAGUUGGUGAGGUAACGGCUCACCAAGGCAACGAUCGGUAGCCGGCCUGAGAGGGCGGACGGCCACACUGGGACUGAGACACGGCCCAGACUCCUACGGGAGGCAGCAGUGGGGAAUUGUUCGCAAUGGGCGCAAGCCUGACGACGCAACGCCGCGUGGAGGAUGAAGAUCUUCGGGUCGUAAACUCCUUUCGAUCGAGACGAAUUCCUCCGGGGUGAACAAUCCUGGGGGUUGACGGUACCGAGAGAAGAAGCCCCGGCUAACUCCGUGCCAGCAGCCGCGGUAAUACGGGGGGGGCAAGCGUUGUUCGGAAUUACUGGGCGUAAAGGGCUCGUAGGCGGCCAACUAAGUCAGACGUGAAAUCCCUCGGCUUAACCGGGGAACUGCGUCUGAUACUGGAUGGCUUGAGUUUGGGAGAGGGAUGCGGAAUUCCAGGUGUAGCGGUGAAAUGCGUAGAUAUCUGGAGGAACACUGGUGGCGAAGGCGGCAUCCUGGACCAACACUGACGCUGAGGAGCGAAAGCCAGGGGAGCAAACGGGAUUAGAUACCCCGGUAGUCCUGGCCCUAAACGAUGAAUGCUUGGUGUGGCGGGUAUCGAUCCCUGCCGUGC